GCCCGCCUAGCUCAAUCGGAUAGAGCGUCAGACUCUUAUCUUACAGCAAGUCAUUUGUAAAGGCAUCUGAAGGCUGCGAGUUCGACCCUCGCGGUGGGCU